GCAGAGGGCAGUGCGCUCUCGCUGGGAGCUGAUCUCAGACCAAGGACAUGUGACAAGAGCAAGCUCCGUACAGCAGAAGAGUGGGUGUGAGGGGAUGGGAGCAGGGCGCAGGGCGCAGGGAGAGGCCAGGGCCUGUGCACCUGCAGAGGGUAGCCAGGCAAGGCCGAGCUGAGGAGGCGUCCUCAGGGUGUGGCAGACGGGGUACCCGGACAGAGCGGCGAAGGCCAGGCUCCAGGAUCAUCCACAGCUGCCCCUCUGCUCUGCUGUGAAGAGUUAUUGGCCUGGGGAGAUGCAUCUAUCACUCUGGGCAGGAAAAACAGAUUACUUGGAACUCAUGCACAGCGGGUUCCCAUGUUGGGCUCCGGAUGCAGCGCUGCUCAGUUCCACCACAGGGGAGCCCAUGGGCAUCGUCCCCAGGCAAGAUUCCUAAACAUCCCCAAAGGCCCACCAUCUUGGAGGAAGCAGUGCACAUAGAAGACUCUGUCCUGGAGCACUGUGACUGUGCCUAAUGUCAAAGGGCUGUGGCAGGUACCAUGGAAGGCGACUGGCUGGAGGAUCUGGGGUGAGAGAGGCUUCUGCCCCAGGCCUGCCCCUGCUGCCCGGGGCCUUCUUACCAUUCCAGACGUGCAGAGUGGUUGCCCAGUUUUCAUGAUCAUAAAGGACUUCUCCCACCUGCCAGCAGACUGUGUCCAGCUGUCAGCUUCUCCAGAGUCUCCUUAGCUGCAGAGUCACACCCACCUAAGAUGUCCUAUGUCCAGCGACUGACAGAGGCAGAAUAAAGGCCUGGGCAGUGUGGCUUGCUGUGUCCCUUCAGAGUUUCCCAUGGUUGGCUGAGGCCAUCGCUGGACUGAAUCAUGGAUGGGCUUCUGAUCCCUCCUGUUCCUGUCCCUUGUAUCCCCUUCGCUCUGUCCCUUGGUAGGCCAUCCCCUAAUAAACAGGCUUCUGCUUGUUGGGGAACCCAACUUGGGACAGUGAAGUUCCUUAA